ensembl:lncRNA
GGAGAGUGGAGAGUUCCGGCCUGCGAAUACCAUUAUUGACCGUGAGCAGAACGUGCCUACAGGACAUGAACCUGUCAUGAACCUGACGGGACCGUGGCGAGGAAACGCAACUGAGCUGAACCAACAAACAAAGAAACAAAGACAAAACUUCAAUGCUUUAAUUUACAUCUGAUGUUAGAAAUAAAUAAAGUCAAGUUCAUUAUAGCCACGUCUCAUGGACUCUACUUUCACGCGUUCAACAAAGCAAACACCGGAACUCACAAGAAGUGGUAAAACAAUUGACAAGUUUUAGCCAUUACAAUAGUCAAUAAUGCCGCAACUUUGGACCUUUUGAUGGAUCAUUACUGGAUACAAUUGGAUUACCCUUGGAACAAGGCAACCCUUGGAUUACUACGAACCUUUCACUGAGAAGCAGCAGCGCGCCAUGCGCAACAAACAAACCAAUCAAUUAACUUGAUCGGAGAUCCAGUUUUUGGUGACAUUCAGGAGCCUAGCUCCAGCAGGGUCACAUCCAGACCCCCAGUGAAGGCACAUCCUACAGGUAGUUUUGCUACACAAGUUGACGUGAAGCCGAUUCAGCGGACGUCAGAGGAAACCAGGACACGAGACCAACCAAGAGCAAACCAAAACAUGGUGCCAGAUAAAGCAUGUCUCUUCUGCAAUGAAUGGAGUCUGCUUUGGAUGUCUGGCAAAGGCUGGACACAUCAGCAAGGACUGUGGGAAACGUCUCCAGUGCACCAUCUGCAACAAGCAGCAUCCAAGUGCCUUGCAUAUCAAAGAGACCACACUGAAGAGCCUGCAGGUGUCUGUCAAAGCUGAUGAACAUACUGGGGCCGGUAAUGUACAGAAUUGCACUUUGUCCAUUGUACCUGUUCAAGUAAAAAGCACAAGAGGUAGUACGAUUAUUAACACCUAUGCCUUUCUAGAUCCUGGCAGCUCUGCUACUUUUUGCACAGAAAAUCUCCUGAACAAGCUGAACAUCAGAGGAAAAAGGACUAACAUCCUCUUAAGGACAAUGAACCAAGAACAAUCUGUGAUUACCUACAUGGCAAAUGGAAUAGAGGUUAGUGCAUUGAACGAAAACAAUUUUAUUGCACUCCCUGAGGUGUACACACAAAAGAGUAUGCCUGUAGACACCGACAGCAUUCUAAAGACAGAAGAGCUAGCUAGGUGGCCUUACUUGAGUGAGAUCCAGAUCCCGAAAAUCAAGGCUGAAGUGGAGCUGUUGAUUGGCAACAAUGCUCCCAAAGCAAUUGAACCAUGGGAAAUAAUAAAUAGUCGUGAAAAUGGGCCAUAUGCUGUGAAGACCCUAUUGGGAUGGGUUGUUAAUGGUCCUCUAGAUGACAGUGUCGUGACAGACAGCAGUGGGCAUCAGAAAGUUACUGUCAACAGAACAUCAGUUGCAAAGCUGGAAGAUUUGAUUGUACAACAGUACAAUCAUGAGUUCAAUGAGAAAUUAGAUGACAAAGAAAUGUCAAUAGAGGAUAAAAGAUUGAUCAAAAUUGCAGAGCAGUGCCUAAUAGGCCUGAAAAGGAAGUUAAAAAGAAAUUAAACAUUCAGAAAUGAGUACACAGAGUUUAUGGAGGAUGUGAUCAGCAAUGGACAUGCUGAAGUGGUGCCACAAGCUGAACUUGAAAGAGAAGACGGCAAGUCUCUUGAAACAGAAAAUGAAGCCGUCGACCUGGUGACAGACCUUACCUGUGUUUGCCACAAGGGAGGAAUCCAUCUAACCAAAUGGGUGAGUAACAGUCGCACUGUACUGUCUCAUAUCCCCAAAGAAGACCGAGCGACUGAAAUGAAAGAACUUCAUUUGGACAGGGACAAACUCCCUACAGAAAGAGCCCAUCCUGCUUUUCCCCCUGGACUAUUUCAGAAGUCAGACACGUACAUCAGAUGGCGCUGGAAACAAGUUCAGUUUCUUGCCGAUCUCUUUUGGAAGAGAUGGACCAAAGAAUACCUACCCCUGUUACAGGAAAGACAAAAAUGGACUACAGUCAGGAAAGGAUACCAAGUAGAUGACAUUGUGAUGGUAGUGGACAGUUCAGCCCCUCGUGGGUCUUGGAACCUUGGAAGAAUAAUAGAAGUCAAACCAGAUUCCAGAGGUUUGAUGAGGACAGUGAAAAUUAUUACGAAGACUGGCGUGUUUGAGAGGCCAAUAACCAAGCUCUGUCUGCUUCUGGAAGGAGCAGAAAAGAUGACCACAAAGUCAUCGGCCAGAGAUAAGUAGUACCUACUCAUGUUAUGAUUUAAGUUAAUGGUAACAAUAAACUACAAAGAAUUUAGGCUCCUUUAUGAUUUGAGUGUUGUAAUAGUUGCCCAUGCACACUAUUAGGGGCCGGUGUGUAGGAGCCAUGUGAGACCUUUUUGAGUAUUCAGUUUGAUAUUUUAGUUUGUGUGACAAAAUUAUUAUUAGUGAACUUAUUUGUAUUGAAUUGUCCCAAAUUAGGAAAUUGUAAUUUGUUUCUGAGUGUGUGCCCCCUAUAGGUAAGGCACUAAUUGUCUAUAGCAUAAAGGUGUGCCAGGCCAAGGAGAGUGGAGAGUUCCGGCCUGCGAAUACCAUUAUUGACCGUGAGCAGAACGUGCCUACAGGACAUGAACCUGUCAUGAACCUGACGGGACCGUGGCGAGGAAACGCAACUGAGCUGAACCAACAAACAAAGAAACAAAGACAAAACUUCAAUGCUUUAAUUUACAUCUGAUGUUAGAAAUAAAUAAAGUCAAGUUCAUUAUAGCCACGUCUCAUGGACUCUACUUUCACGCGUUCAACAAAGCAAAC